GUGGGGAAUAUUGGACAAUGGGGGGAACCCUGAUCCAGCCAUGCCGCGUGCAGGAUGAAGGCCUUCGGGUUGUAAACUGCUUUUGUACGGAACGAAAAGACUCCUUCUAAUAAAGGGGGUCCAUGACGGUACCGUAAGAAUAAGCACCGGCUAACUACGUGCCAGCAGCCGCGGUAAUACGUAGGGUGCAAGCGUUAAUCGGAAUUACUGGGCGUAAAGCGUGCGCAGGCGGUUAUAUAAGACAGAUGUGAAAUCCCCGGGCUCAACCUGGGAACUGCAUUUGUGACUGUAUAGCUAGAGUACGGUAGAGGGGGAUGGAAUUCCGCGUGUAGCAGUGAAAUGCGUAGAUAUGCGGAGGAACACCGAUGGCGAAGGCAAUCCCCUGGACCUGUACUGACGCUCAUGCACGAAAGCGUGGGGAGCAAACAGGAUUAGAAACCCUUGUAGUCC
rnacentral:rRNA from 1 species